UUUCCGUAGGUGAACCUGCGGAAGGAUCAUUACUGAGUGAGGGCCCUCUGGGUCCAACCUCCCACCCGUGUUUAUUAUACCUUGUUGCUUCGGUGAGCCCGCCUCACGGCCGCCGGGGGGCAUCUGCCCCCGGGCCCGCGCCCACCGAAGACACCUAGAACUCUGUAUGAAGAUUGCAGUCUGAGCAAAAACUAAAUAAGUUAAAACUUUCAACAACGGAUCUCUUGGUUCCC
rnacentral:misc_RNA from 1 species